AUGAGGACUAGCCUUCUUCUCCUUGCUGCUCUUGGUGUUAUCUCUGUCAUCACCACACCGGCAGUAGCGCUCAAAAGCAAAUGGCAGCCGAUCAAGAACAUCACCAACCCACAUGUCCAGGACCUCGGCACCUGGGCGGUGGUGAAGUAUCGUAUGGUGUCCAACAGCAGGCUCCAUUUCAAACAAGUGGUAAGCGGUGAGGUGCAGAGAAUGACUGAGGGCAUGAACUACCGGCUUGAUGUCCAAGUAUCUCGGAUGGAUCACAAGGAUGCCAUGUACAAAGCAGGAGUUCUCGAGGAGGACAAACCGCUCAGCACCAUUCGCAAGCUUGUCUCCUUCGCCAAGGCCAAAUGA
rnacentral:rRNA from 1 species